rnacentral:misc_RNA from 1 species
UCCGGUUUGACACCGGCAGUCUCCCUAGAGUGCCCGGCAUAACCCGCUGGUAACUAGGGACGAGGGUUGCGCUCGUUGCGGGACUUAACCCAACAUCUCACGACACGAGCUGACGACAGCCAUGCAGCACCUGUGCACUGGUCCCGAAGGGAAAAUCCUAUCUCUAGGACGGUCCACCGUUGUCUAGCCCAGGUAAGGUUCUUCGCGUUGCGUCGAAUUAAACCACAUGCUCCACCGCUUGUGCGGGCCCCCGUCAAUUCCUUUGAGUUUCAACCUUGCGGUCGUACUCCCCAGGCGGGGUACUUCCUGCGUUAGCGCCGGCACCCAGAGGGUCGCUCCCCCAGGCACCUAGUACCCAUCGUUUACGGCGUGGACUAC